rnacentral:rRNA from 1 species
GACGAACGCUGGCGGCGUGCUUAACACAUGCAAGUCGAACGGAAAGACCCUGCUUUUGUUGGUUUCUCGUUUGCCGAACGGGUGAGUAACACGUGUGUAACCUCCCCUUGACUUUGUGAUAUCUUCAGGAAACUGCGGCUCAUACCCGAUAUGAUCUCCUGCUGCAUGUUGGUCGUUGGAAAGUUUCGGCGGUUGGGGCUGGACUCGCUGCUUAUCCGCUUGUUGGUGUGGUAGUGGCUUACCAAGGCUUUGACGGGUAGCCGGCCUGGGAGCGGUACCGGGGACAUGGGGACUGAGAGAGGGACCAGAAGCGAACGGGAGGCAGCAGGGGGGAAUAUUGCACAAUGAGGGGAAGUGAGAGGCAGAAACGCCGCGAGCGGGAUAACGGGUUUCGGGGGGUAAACCGAUGUCGAAUGAGACGAAGAGAGAGUGACGGUAAUGGGUAAAGAAGCAACGGCUAACUACGUG